CCGCCUUUACCUUCGCACAGGUACCCGGCCAGCCCCCAGAUGAAGUCGGUGCAGUAGUGGCAGAAGAAUACCCACCAAUGAAUACCAAUCACCAUCUCUUUACACGAAGACCUCUAUAUGACUGCGAUCCUUCAACUGCUUCAGCUGUUCAGACAAUUGAAAGAGCAAAGGCAGACUUAAAACCACCACCAAAACCAGACAAGACAAGACAACUCACCCUAACAAAGCCAGGAGACAAGACAGUUAUGAUUUCUUCUUCUGCAACACCUGGUUGGCCCUCUGACCAGAAAAUAUUGGGUACCACCAUCCCGGAGUCAGUCAGUGUUCAAAAAGCAGAGGGUGAACAAACGUCUACUCCCAGGAAGAGAAAUGCUAUUCAAAAAAGUCUCGGAAAGCCAAUAUACAGAGCUGAUAGGGGUCUCCCUCCAUCUUACACUGGCUACAUCCCAGGUCACAAGUUCUCAUUUGGAAAGACCUGGGGAGUGAGCACCAGAAACUCUCUGGAAGCAGGAAAGAGGCGGCCUUUUGUAUGGACUUCUCAUAUGUAAGCAGGGCAUGACUAAUCAAAUUGCAUGCCAUAAAUUGCCAUCAGUGCAAAUAUAUGCGUUGUCAUCUGAAACAUAUUAACGUUUUCUUUUCCUUUCUAAGUAUACACAUAAGAUAGUUUCUACAAAGGCUAAGCUGAAACUAUAUUCACAAUCUUCCCUCACCCAGAGAAAACAAUGAUUUUUGGUACUCCUUGCAAAAAAGAAAAGAAAAAAGAGGAUGUUUCUAUUUUGCUCUCUCAUGCAGACCGCAUUCAGACACCUUGAUAAACUAUGGUUUAGCUUUCUGCAAACAAGCCUCAUCCUUCUGCAUACACUACUUCUUCCCGUACAACUAACUGCAGUUUAUGCCUAAACCGGGACAAACUGUGGUUCAUCAUAACUAUGGUUUGCCCCAAAGUCGCUUUCAAACCGUGGUUAUGAUCUCAGCUUGUUUGAAGAAACUAUAAUUAAAACUAAUUGCAGUGCCCCAUUGGGAGAAAAUGACAAAUCACCAUUACUUUACGACAGAAAAAGAUGCUUCUUUUUUUAAACGUAUUUUUAAAUUA